AACAGCAGCGUAGCUGAACAUCUUACGGAUGGCCCAGGGCUCCAAAGGCUCGUUUCCUAAGUGAGAGAGAGCCUGGCUGAAGCUGUAUUACCAUUCAUUCUCCAGCCUCCGAAGUCUCAAAGCAUCACUUCCACCAUACUCUAACUGUCAAGACAAACACAAAGGCCCAGAAACUGCCAGACUGUCUUCUGAAGUGGCUAUAAUAUUUACACUCCCAUCAGCAGUGUAGAAGGGGUCUCACUAUGUUGUCUGGAGUGCUGUGGUGGAGUGGAGUGGCUAUUCACAGAGCCUGUUCUGCUGGGACACAGAAUCACUUGCUCCAUCUCAUACAUUGAUGAUGAUUAAUUUGUAUGUGUACCUUCCAAAAAAGAUGGUUGUGUUUGAAUGGAGGCCUUCUGGACAGGAAAAUAUGGAGAGUGCGUGCUUUGGAUUCAAGACUGGGAAUGAGGGGACCAGAAACCUAUUCUGUGGCUGUUUCUUGUUAGGACUUUCCUAAGCCUCUGGAAAAGUGCAAAGUACAAUUAACAUUUGAGUCUGUCUGAGUCAUGAAGAAAUGGAGAUUACUGAAAAUAAUUCAUUUUGGUAUCUUCUUACAUCCUGAGAGACUAAUCUUUCCAAGUUCAUCUGAGGCUCCUCUUCUCCAUGACAACCUCAUCCAGGGAUUUCUUCCUGUCCUGGUGUUUUAUGACAUGUGGAAGGGGACUGUAGCAGGUGAUCUCCAAAGUCUCUGGAGACUUACUAAUGUGCAUCCUCAUCUCGCUUGUAAGGAUAAUAGCCUUCCUCCAAACCUCACACACUUUUGGAGGAGAUCACUUUUUUUAAAGUGCAUGGAAAUGUUUUGAAACAGUGAAAUCUAUAAUGAUAGGUUUCAUAAUUCUAACAUCCACACCAUAUGAAUCACAUCCUUCCUGAGAUAAUGAGCACACAAUUGCCUGGAUACCUGAAGGAAUGGAGACAGCGGCAGAAAACACUGCAGAGAGGUGGAAACAUCCGUUAAUAUUUUAAAAUCCCAUUACUGCUACCAACAAUAAUAAUGGAUGCAUAGAAAUAGAUCUGGAUUAGCUGAGCUUGAAACAGUCCAUCUCACACACACACAAAAGAAUUUCAGGUAAUGAAGAAAAGAAAAGGAAAAAAAUAACACAUGGCCUCUGUAACAUUGUUGCUUUUGAACCUUAUUGGAUUUGUGGCAAACUGGGUGCUUUUGGGACAUGAGUCUCCUACCACUCACCUGCCUCUGAGCUCUCCUCUGAGGCCGGUCACUGCCCAGAAGGGAUGCACCUGUCUUCUGUCCUGUGGUCUCUGGGUAGCCCCUGGGUCAGCAUUUUGGGUGCUAGCAUCUGAUGCAACUGCUACAGUUGCUGAUGAGAAAGUAGCUACCCUCCUCCACUCCACCCCUGCCGCCCAGGCCCUGCCACUCCUGCUAACCUGUCAGGCUACAUUUUCAAUUACUGGCUUUGAAAAAUGUCCAGGUGGAUUAAAUCAAUGAAUGCGAUGAG
rnacentral:lncRNA from 1 species